rnacentral:rRNA from 1 species
UACGUAGGGGGCGAGCGUUGUCCGGAAUUAUUGGGCGUAAAGAGCGUGUAGGCGGUUCGGUAAGUCUGCCGUGAAAACCUGGGGCUCAACCCCGGGCGUGCGGCUGGAUACUGCCGGGCUAGAGGGUGGUAGAGGCGAGUGGAAUUCCCGGUGUAGCGGUGAAAUGCGCAGAUAUCGGGAGGAACACCAGCGGCGAAGGCGGCACUCUGGGCUGGAACUGACGCUGAGGAGCGAAAGCGUGGGUAGCAAACAGG